GAUGAACGCUAGCUACAGGCUUAACACAUGCAAGUCGAGGGGAAACGACAUUGAAAGCUUGCUUUUGAUGGGCGUCGACCGGCGCACGGGUGAGUAACGCGUAUCCAACCUGCCCACCACUUGGGGAUAACCUUGCGAAAGUAAGACUAAUACCCAAUGACGUCUCUAGAAGACAUCUGAAAGAGAUUAAAGAUUUAUCGGUGAUGGAUGGGGAUGCGUCUGAUUAGCUUGUUGGCGGGGUAACGGCCCACCAAGGCGACGAUCAGUAGGGGUUCUGAGAGGAAGGUCCCCCACAUUGGAACUGAGACACGGUCCAAACUCCUACGGGAGGCAGCAGUGAGGAAUAUUGGUCAAUGGGCGAGAGCCUGAACCAGCCAAGUAGCGUGCAGGAUGACGGCCCUA
rnacentral:rRNA from 1 species